UUCUAGCCCCGAUUGGAGCAUUUGUUUGAGCUCUUUUUGGAAUUGCCAAUUAUUUGGCGAUCCCAAAAAAGCGAGUGCGGAAAGCGGGAAAUAAA
rnacentral:misc_RNA from 1 species